AUGAACGCUGGCGGCGUGCCUAAUACAUGCCAGUCGAGCGAACGGACGAGAAGCUUGCUUCUCUGAUGUUAGCGGCGGACGGGUGAGUAACACGUGGAUAACCUACCUAUAAGACUGGGAUAACUUCGGGAAACCGGAUCUAAUACCGGAUGAUAUUUUGAACCGCAUGGUUCAAAAGUGAAAGACGGUCUUGCUGUCACUUAUAGAUGGAUCCGCGCUGCAUUAGCUAGUUGGUAAGGUAACGGCUUACCAAGGCAACGAUGCAUAGCCGACCUGAGAGGGUGAUCGGCCACACUGGAACUGAGACACGGUCCAGACUCCUACGGGAGGCAGCAGUAGGGAAUCUUCCGCAAUGGGCGAAGGCCUGACGGAGCAACGCCGCGUGAGUGAUGAAGGUCUUCGGAUCGUAAAACUCUGUUAUUAGGGAAGAACAUAUGUGUAAGUAACUGUGUACAUCUUGACGGUACCUAAUCAGAAAGCCACGGCUAACUACGUG
rnacentral:rRNA from 1 species